UCCGCGAAGCUCAGAGAUAGGACUCCAACUGGUAAUUGGUACGUCGCGGGUUCGAUUCCCGUUCGUGGAG
rnacentral:tRNA from 1 species